CUCUACGUUAAGCAUUUAAAAAUAUUUUCAUUUUCCAUCAGUGGGUCUGCUUGGCUCCAACCCCACAGAAUAUCAUCCUCCAUUCCCCCACUCCCUCUCCAAGAUAAACUGAUCACCUGAAAUCUCAAUACUAUGUAGAUUGUUUUUAGUUUUGAUACUCAACACCUUUUCAACUUAUUCUCAGUUGCUUCUCUCCUCUGAUUGGAAGGCUGGAGUUUAAAGCACUAAACUCCAUCCGAAGCCUUCCUUUGCAGAGCGCUCACAACUUUCCUGGUAACUCCAUUUUCUAUCACCAUAUAGACUUGGUUUCUAAUCCAUGGGACAUUAUGCCCCCUAAGAUGUAUCAUACCUGGUGUUGGCCCCCACUCCCUUCAACUUCCCUUCCUGUUUUGCUCCUAUUAGAUUGUAAACUCCUUGAGGGAAGGACUGCCUUUUUCUUAUUUGUACCCACAGCACAGUGGUUGGCACAUAGUAGGAACUUAAUAAAUGCUAAUUGAAUUAGGAUCACAGGCCUUAGGGCUGGCUGGAAGCUUAUUAUAUCAUCUAGUCCAACUCCCUUAUUUUACAGAGGCACAAAUUGGGGGCUAGGAGGAAUUUACUUGACCAAAGUCAUACACAGUGAAGGCAAGUUUAGAAUCCAUAUCCCCAAACUCCAAAUCUUACGUUCCCUCCACUAGACCACUCUGUCCUAGGGAAGAAUGAUAUAAGGCUUAGAAAGACAUGAGAAAAACAGGGCUACAGAGGAGAAAGGACUCAAGGAGAGCUCUUGUCUCUCUGGAGGGGAGAGCUCUACCUUCACUGCUCCUGUCCAGCAUCAGAAGCCAAGGGCAUAGUCUGUUCCCCCAGGAUAAAAAGAAAUAAAGGGACGGGAGGGGAUAAAAAGCUUGUACCUAGGCUGGAAAGUUGAGCCCAAACUAUAGCCUUCUCCCCAGGGCGAAGAUGACAGCAGCUGAACCUCUGCUGAAGACAGGCUCAGGGUUUAGCCAUAAAGUCAAGUCACAGAAAGGUCAAAACUCUUUCAAUGUCCAGACUUGGGAUGUUGGGAACCAAUAAACAAAGCAAUCAAUGGAUGCAGUCCCCGUGCCCUCAGGGUCGACAGCACAGUCACAGAAACACAAGAUGGCACACCGAUAUACACACACUCACAAGAAGGGGCAUACAUAAACAUGCUAAGCCAGCUGGCUACAGGUCCUACUUCAUCCUGAGGUCUGAUGGAUUUGUGGUUGAGGUUAUAUUAUUUAGGUCUUUGGGGGGGCUGCCCUCUCUCCUCCCAUCCCACAACUUUCCCAGUAGUAGUCAGGGAUAUGUUUCCAGGCUAGUCUGAAAGGUCAGGAGGAUGGCUAGGAAUUCUGAAAUCAGGGAACUCACAAAUGAUGCCCAAGACAUGCUAAUCAACAUUUAUUUUGAAAGCAAUUGUUUGGGCAUUUAAUAACAGUGUAUGUGUUGGAAUCUGUGAUAUUCUCUCUGUUCAAAGACAAAUUGAGACUCAGAGCUCUAGAAUUCUUAUAAUAACCCAGAGAGAUUUUUCUUCUCUUUCUUUCUCUCUCUAUCCCUCUCUCCCUUUUUGUUAAAGCUGGAAAGGAUCUUGGAGAUCAUUUGUAUUGCUUGGCUAAGAGGAUCCCAUUUCUGGAAUCCACGUUAGAAACUUCUUGAAACUCCCUCCUUUCCUUUCCUUCUUGGCCUAACUUUCCUUCCUCCACAGAGGGGACCAGACCAAAGUCCAGGCUUUGCUGUGAUUUACAACCUCAUAAACUGAGUCCCUGGGGACAGAGCUGGCUAUUGUUCACCUCGUUAAACUUUAUUUACAGGGCUAAUGAGCCCCUCCCCCUCUGCCAUCCCUAAGACAGGCCAGAGAUCCCAGAAUUUUCCUCCCUGCUCUACACAGCCCUGGCCAAACAUUCAGGGGACUGGGGGUCGAGUACCUGCCCUCCCAAAUAGAUCCUAGCCUAAUUUCUUAGAAGGGGAAGGUGGCCAAAAGGUGUGGGAUGAGACAGAUCUAGCUGAGCCUUUGACCAGGUGCAAUUACAGGUCAAAGAUUACCAGUGCUUAGAUUUUUCUUUUUCUUUUCUUUUUUUUUCCACCUAUAGAGGCAGUUUGGGGCUUCAUUGAUUUCUCUUCUGUGACAGUUCAUGCCUUACCAGUCCAGGAUUUUCACUCCAGAGACUAAGCAAUGGGCAAAGUCCCAGAAAACCACUUCUACCGACCCUCCUUACAUGCGGAUGUGCCCCUUCCUCAGCCCUGGGCCAACUCCAAAUGGGCAUCACUCACCGGCUCGAGGGGAUGUAGUUGAAUUCUGCAGGUACCGCCCACUCCGGUAGAGAUGCAAAACCUUCUCCAGUUGGGCCAGUGUUUCAUCCACUCCCCAGG